AACGAACGCUGGCGGCAGGCUUAACACAUGCAAGUCGAGCGCCCCGCAAGGGGAGCGGCAGACGGGUGAGUAACGCGUGGGAAUCUACCCAUCACUACGGGACAACUCCGGGAAACUGGAGCUAAUACCGUAUACGCCCUUCGGGAGAAAGAUUUAUCGGUGAUGGAUGAGCCCGCGUUGGAUUAGCUAGUUGGUGGGGUAAUGGCCCACCAAGGCGACGAUCCAUAGCUGGUCUGAGAGGAUGAUCAGCCACACUGGGACUGAGACACGGCCCAGACUCCUACGGGAGGCAGCAGUGGGGAAUAUUGGACAAUGGGCGCAAGCCUAAUCCAGCCAUGCCGCGUGAGUGAUGAAGGCCCUAGGGUUGUAAAGCUCUUUCACCGGUGAAGAUAAUGACGGUAACCGGAGAAGAAGCCCCGGCUAACUUCGUGCCAGCCGCCGCGGUAA
rnacentral:rRNA from 1 species